rnacentral:rRNA from 1 species
AAUGGAGGAAACUCUGAUGCAGCGACGCCGCGUGGAGGAAGAAGGUUUUCGGAUCGUAAACUCCUGUUGUCGGGGACGAUAAUGACGGUACCCGACAAGAAAGUGACGGCUAACUACGUGCCAGCAGCCGCGGUAAAACGUAGGUCACAAGCGUUGUCCGGAAUUACUGGGUGUAAAGGGAGCGCAGGCGGGGAGAUAAGUUGGGAGUGAAAACUAUGGGCUCAACCCAUAAAUUGCUUUCAAAACUAUCUUUCUUGAGUAGUGCAGAGGUAGGCGGAAUUCCCGGUGUAGCGGUGGAAUGCGUAGAUAUCGGGAGGAACACCAGUGGCGAAGGCGGCCUACUGGGCACCAACUGACGCUGAGGCUCGAAAGUAUGGGUAGCAAA